rnacentral:rRNA from 1 species
UAAUACGGAGGGUGCGAACGUUGCUCGGAAUCAUUGGGCGUAAAGCGCACGUAGGCGGCCUCGCAAGUUGGAUGUGAAAGCCCUGGGCUCAACUCAGGAAGUGCAUCCAAAACUGCAUGGCUCGAGUGCCGAAGGGGGCCAGAGAAUUCCCGGUGUAGAGGUGAAAUUCGUAGAUAUCGGGAGGAAUACCAGUGGCGAAGGCGCUGGCCUGGUCGGAUACUGACGCUGAGGUGCGAUAGCGUGGGGAGCAAACAGGAUUAGAUACCCUGGUAGUCCACGCCGUAAACGAUGAGUGCUAGGCGGUGGGAGUUUGACCCUUUCACUGCCGUAGUUAACGCGUUAAGCACUCCGCCUGGGGAGUACGGUCGCAAGACUA